rnacentral:rRNA from 1 species
UGGAAGUAAAAGUCGUAACAAGGUCUCCGUUGGUGAACCAGCGGAGGGAGAUU